AAUAGUAUCUUUAUUCUAUACCUCAUUACCGUGUGUAGUUUAUAUCCAAUUAUGGAGGAAAUUGUGCAUAAACCAUGAUGUUCAUCGCAUCUUACGUAUUUCUCUUCUGUUUACAUUUUGUUCAUUCAAAAGCUGGACUCGGGGUAGGAGUCUGCGGUCGUGAUCCUUUGAGAUGCUGUCCGAAUUAUCGAAGUGACGGUACAUUCUGCAAUCCUUGUGAUACAGGUACCUAUGGACACAAUUGCUCUGAAAGUUGUGUUUAUGGAUCGUAUGGAUUUGGAUGUUCAAAGAAGUGUAACUGUUCACGUGAUCAGUUUUGUGACGCAGUUACAGGAUGCUCA